rnacentral:rRNA from 1 species
CCUACGGGAGGCAGCAGUGAGGAAUAUUGGUCAAUGGGCGCGAGCCUGAACCAGCCAAGUAGCGUGAAGGAUGACUGCCCUACGGGUUGUAAACUUCUUUUAUAAAGGAAUAAAGUGAGGCACGUGUGCCUUUUUGUAUGUACUUUAUGAAUAAGGAUCGGCUAACUCCGUGCCAGCAGCCGCGGUAAUACGGAGGAUCCGAGCGUUAUCCGGAUUUAUUGGGUUUAAAGGGUGCGUAGUUGGGUCGUUAAGUCAGUUGUGAAAGUUUGCGGGCCAAACGUAAAAUUGCAAUUGAAACUGGCAGCCUUGAGUACAGUUGAGGGAGGCGGAAUUCGUGGUGUAGCGGUGAAAUGCUUAGAUAUCACGAAGAACUCCGAUUGCGAAGGCAGCUUACUAACCUGCCACUGACAUUGAUGCUCGAAAGUGUGGGUAUCAAACAGGAUUAGAUACCCGAGUAGUC